AUUGAACGCUGGCGGAAUGCUUUACACAUGCAAGUCGAACGGCAGCACGGGGGCAACCCUGGUGGCGAGUGGCGAACGGGUGAGUAAUACAUCGGAACGUGCCCAGUCGUGGGGGAUAACGUAGCGAAAGUUACGCUAAUACCGCAUACGAUCUACGGAUGAAAGCGGGGGACUGUAAGGCCUCGCGCGAUUGGAGCGGCCGAUGUCAGAUUAGGUAGUUGGUGAGGUAAAGGCUCACCAAGCCGACGAUCUGGAGCUGGUCUGAGAGGACGACCAGCCACACUGGGACGGAGGCACGGCCCAGACUCCGACGGGAGGCAGCAGUGGGGAAGUUUGGACAAUGGGCGCAAGCCUGAUCCAGCCAUUCCGCGUGCAGGACGAAGGCCUUCGGGUUGUAAACUGCUUUUGUACGGAACGAAAAGGCUCUGGUUAAUACCUGGGGCUCAUGACGGUACCGUAAGAAUAAGCACCGGCUAACUACGUGCCAGCCGCCGCAGUAA
rnacentral:rRNA from 1 species